GAGAAGAGAAAGAAAGAAGAGAGAGGAGAAGAGAGAGAAAGAAAGGGAGGGUCUUCUCAGUCUUCUCUCUUUUUUUUCUACUUUUUCUUCUUUGACAAAAGAGGGGAAGAAGAAGAGGAAGAGGAGAAAGGAAAGGGUGGUGGUCCUCCGUCGAGGUGGCAAUAGGAAGUGGUGGCCGAAAAUGGAGAGCAGCUCAAAGUGGAGCCGGGCAACAGAAAUCAUCCCAAAAAUAAGGCGAAACAGGGGGGGUCUUGGCUCAGUGGUUCUCGAGUCCCAACCCACUCGCCGGCGGCCGGGCUCUAGCUUCGGCCAUAAGCCAAUGCAGAGAAAGGAACAAAGACUUCAGCGAUGAUUGUCAACGAUGGAGUUGGUCAAAAAAGAAAAAAAAUAGGGUCGGCACUCAUGAUGGAAAUUCGGUGGGUUUCUCGGCUGGUAGCAAUGUUUCAAGGAUUAGAAAGAAGAGGUAAACAAAGAGAAGAAAGGUCCGGGCCUUACCUUAGCUCUAGCAGCCCUAGGUUUCGAAUUCCUGGUCGAAGUUGCCGGGGGAGAAGGAAAGAAGACUCCCGGUGAGAGUCUUAUGCCUGUUACGUGCAAAUGAU
rnacentral:lncRNA from 1 species